CUCGGGCGUCUUUCAGUUGCUUUUUAUGCAGGGCUUCCUGUGGAACGCAGGAAUUGGAUGGACAAUCCCAAACCGGAAUUCCUACAUCUUGAAGGGGGCAAAGAGAACUUCAGCCUUCUCACCUCAGGGCCUUCUGCUCGCCUUUGCAGUCCUCAGGAAAACACAGGAAUCACCAACACUGGGAGUUAUCUUGGCCCGCGGAGGGAGUCUGGGCUUCAUCAGUUGUCACGGUUCCCUUGCUGCAUCUUUUCCCCACCCUGAGGACCUCGAGGAAGAACUCUGAUCCUGGAACAUAAGGAACACAAUCUGACCCCGUCCACGCCAGGAAGGACACGACGCCACAAUGACAUGCUGGAGGAGAGGAAGGAAAAACACCAGCAGCAGCAGAAAAGGGAAGUCCUUUGUUUGCAGUGUGCCUCGUGAGACAGUUUGUGUUGGCAGAUUUAUGACCACCAUCCUGAUCAGCAGUCUAUGCCAUGGAUGUUGGGAGUUUCUGGACGACGGAGGAAGACCUAGAGCCUGAUGUGAAUUUAUCACUGCUCUUUACUUCACCUACCAAGUUUGUUUUUAAAUACAGGUUAGCUGCAAAGUAAGGUUCAAACCUGUUCUUAGUUAUUCUGUGUCACCGUCCACAUCCUGUCCUGUUAGAGGACAGGAUGUCUGGCUACAGAGGGGAAGCAUUUGGUAUCUACAAACUACACUCUCCUAUAAUAGGUGAACCUGAUUCAGAGUGUAAAAACAUGAAGUAAUCGGUACCCACAGAAGUCGACCUUAUGACCUGAAAGCAAAAAGUCAUCAUUACCUCAUAUUGUCAAAACAGCUGCAGGAAAGUUUGAGUGUGUGAUUUUAAAUAUAUCAAGUAAUGUCAAGAUUCUGUUUUUUUAUAGCCCAGGAUCACAUACUUUGUCUCAAUGGACUUUAAAGGUCAUAGUAGCAGCAGGUCUGACCCAGCCCAAGCUCUCUAAGAAGACUAACUCCUCAGAUAUAACCCAGGUCAAGAGUGCUGCUUGGCCAGAAAUGUCAAUGCUAAAAUACACUAAAAAGCACUCCCCUUUGCUCUUAUUGAGUGUGCCUGAAAGCGCACACUAUAUGUUAUCCACUGCGCUUCUUCCGCUCUAAG